rnacentral:rRNA from 1 species
AUGUAUUGUUAAGUAUUUUAUUAAAUAAAAUAUUUAAUAAUAGAUAGAAUAGUAUAAAAGAGAUUAUUAAGGAUAACUAGCUAAUAUAUUGUAGAGGUUAAGACCAAAAUCAUGGUUAUAAAUAUGUAAACAUGUAAGUCAAAAGGGGAAACCUGAAAAAAGAUGACGAAGUGAAAGGAAACAUCUGAGUAACUUUAGGAAAAGAAAUCAACCGAGAUUUUAUGAGUAGUGGUGAGCGAAAGUAAAGGAGCCGAAUAUCUGAAAGAAGUAUUCUAGUUAAAUAGCAUUAAAAGUAAAGCUUUUUUGUUAGUUUAAGUUCUAGGUUUUAGAAUGAAUUUCUCUGUUAAAAAGUUGGAAUGCUUUAUUUUGCGAAAGAUGGUGAUAGCCCAUGAGAAAGAGAGUCAGAUAUAAUAUAAGUAGAAUGAGAGUAAACUUGUUUGAAAAAAAAGAAAUAUAUAUAUUUCUUUAGGGGGGAACUAUCCUCCAAGGCUAAAUAUGAUAUAUUAAGCGAUAGUGGAGAGUACCGUGAGGGAAAGUUGAAAAGAGUAAAUAGUCUUAAACUAUUAGAAAGUGAAAAAGAUCUUGAAUUAAUAGUCUUAUAAGCAGUCGGAGAAUGAGUAAAGUUUGACGACGUACCUUUUGCAUAAUGGGUCAGCAAGUUAAUAUUAAAUGUAAGUUGUAAGACCUAAGGAAAUUGAUUCUUAAUAGGGAGUAUUGUAAUAUUUAAUAUUAGACCCGAAAUCUAGUGAUCUUACUAUGAUUAGAUGAUAGAUCGAACCGGUGUGCGUAGCAAAGCACUCGGAAGAAUUGUGGUAAGGAGUGAAAUACAAAUCGAACUAGGAUAUAGCUGGUUUUCUGCGAAAUUUGUUUUAGCAAAUUGCUUAUUGUCGUUAUUAGUAGGUAUAGCACUGAAUAUCCUAGUAAUGAGGGAGUAUCAAGUGUAUUUUCUCGGAUAUUUAAUCUCAGAAUGACUAAUAAUAGGAAUAAGUUAUGGGACUUUUUGCGAGAAGGUGGAAAGUCAAAAGGGAAACAGCCCAGAACAGUAUUAAAGUUCUAAAAUUAUUAUUAAGUGAAAUAAAAGAAGUGGUUUCCCCUUAACAGUUAAGAAGUGGGCUUGGAGACAGCCAUCUUUUAAAGAACACGUAGAAGUGCAAUAAUCUAUUGGGAGGCUGCGCUGAAAAUAUUCGGAUCUAAAUAAUAUGCUGAAAUACUGUCGUAAAUAUCAGUAAUGAAAGUAAUGGUAAAUUUCAUAUUUUUGUUUAUGGGUAGUAGAACAUUUGGUAAAUGGAUGAAGAAUAGUAGUUUAUUAUUUGGACAUAACUAAAGAGAGAAUGCUGACAUGAGUAACGAUAAAAUGGGUGAAAAUCCUAUUCGCCUAAAAUAGAAGGUUUUUAGAGUAAAGCUUAACUGCUUUAAGUAAUAUCGGCCUCUAACAGUAUCUCUAAAGAGUAAUGGAUGAGUGUGUAUUAUACGUAAAGUGAAUACUAGAGGAGAUUGAGUAUUUAUUCAGGAAAAGGUAUAAUAGGAUAACCGUACUAAACCGACACAGGUCUAUAAAUACAUAAAGUAUGAAGGCGUUUGAGAGAAUUAUUGCGAAGGAACUCGGCAAAAUUAUUUUGUAAUUUAGAGAUAAGAAAUACCUAUAAGAGGUGUCACAGAAUAUUGUUGUACAACUGUUUACUUAAAACACAGUACUUUGCAAAGAUGAAAGUCUUAGUAUAAAGUAUGAGAUCUGCCCAAUGCUGUAUAAUGAAGAAUUAGUUAGAUUUUUAUUUAACGAUUGGAAGUUAUAGUGAAUGGCGGCCUUAACUAUAAGGGUCCUAAGGUAGCGAAAUUCCUUGGCCGUUAAAUGCGGUCCUGCAUGAAUGAUUUAAUGAUACAACAACUGUCUCCGCAAUAAACUUAGUGAAAUUGGAAUAGCCGUGAAUAUACGGUUUCUAUGUAGAAAGACGGAAAGACCCUAUGCAGCUUUACUGUAAUUCGUUAUUGUUAUGAAUUUCUAAUUUUGUAGAAUAGAAGGUAGUCUAAGAGACAUCGGUGAAAUACCUUUAUUUUAGGGAGGAAUGACUAACUUAAGAUAAGGACAGUGAUGGAUGGACAGUUUAUGUGGGGCGCAUGUCUCAAAAAGAGUAUCUGAGAUGUCCGAAGGUAAGGUAAAAUUGGAUGGUAACCAAUUAAUGUUCUAGUAGAAUAUUUAGGAUAAUAAGUCUUAAAUUAUGAAUGAUUAAGAAAAGUAUAAUGAUAUAACUUUGCUUAACAGUGAGACUGACAAGUCAAACUGACACGUAAGUGGGGCAUAAUGACCCUUGUAUAUCAAAAUGGAAUGAUACAGGAUCAACGGAUAAAAGCUACGCUAGGGAUAACAGGGUUAUUUCGUGUGAGAGAUCUUAUUGACCACGAAGUUUGCCACCUCGAUGUCGACUCAACCUAUCCUCCUGGAGUAGAAAAUGGGAAGGGUUCGGCUGUUCGCCGAUUAAAAGGUUACGUGAGUUGGGUUAAAAACGUUGUGAAACAGUUUGGUCCCUAUCUUCUACAUAAUUAAAGUUGAAAAAGAAUUUAUUUUUUGUACGCAAGGAUCAAAAUAAGUUAACCUCUGGUUUAACUGUUGUUUUUUUUUAGAAAUCUCCAAAAAAAAAGAAAAAAAAAGGCAUGGCAGUAAAGUUACGUUAGUUAAGAAUAAAAAUUGAAAGCAUAUCAAAUUUGAAGUCUUUCUUUGUGAACUUUGUAUAAAAGAAGUUAUAGAUUAUAACUGUGAUAGGCUUUAUCUGUAAGAACAGUAAUGUUUGAAGGUAUAAAGUACUAAUUAUGAUUGUAACUAUUUUGUACUC